UACGGGGGGAGCAAGCGUUGUUCGGAUUUACUGGGCGUAAAGGGCGCGUAGGCGGCGCAACAAGUCACUUGUGAAAUCUCCGGGCUUAACCCGGAGCGGUCAAGUGAUACUGUCGUGCUAGAGUGCGGAAGGGGCUACUGGAAUUCUCGGUGUAGCGGUGAAAUGCGUAGAUAUCGAGAGGAACACCUGCGGCGAAGGCGGGUUGCUGGGCUGACACUGACGCUGGAGGCGCGAAAGCUAGGGGAGCGAACGGG
rnacentral:rRNA from 1 species